GACGAACGCUGGCGGCGUGCUUAACACAUGCAAGUCGAACGGUGAAGCCCUUCGGGGUGGAUCAGUGGCGAACGGGUGAGUAACACGUGAGCAACCUGCCCCUGGCUCUGGGACAACCACUGGAAACGGUGGCUAAUACCGGAUACGACCCGCCUCGGUAUCGAGUGUGGGUGGAAAGUUUUUCGGCUGGGGAUGGGCUCGCGGCCUAUCAGCUUGUUGGUGAGGUGAAGGCUCACCAAGGCGACGACGGGUAGCCGGCCUGAGAGGGCGACCGGCCACACUGGGACUGAGACACGGCCCAGACUCCUACGGGAGGCAGCAGUGGGGAAUAUUGCACAAUGGGCGAAAGCCUGAUGCAGCGACGCCGCGUGAGGGAUGACGGCCUUCGGGUUGUAAACCUCUUUCAGCUCCGAAGAAGCGAAAGUGACGGUAGGAGCAGAAGAAGCACCGGCUAACUACGUG
rnacentral:rRNA from 1 species